UGCUUACGUUGAAACACUAGUUCCCGUACAAUCACUGAAGUUAAGCAACGUCGAGGCUGGUCAGUAUCUAGAUGCGUGUCCGCUUGGGAAUUUCAGGUACUGUAA